rnacentral:rRNA from 1 species
AGUUCGGAUCGCAGUCUGCAACUCGACUGCGUGAAGCUGGAAUCGCUGGUAAUCGCGCAUCAGCCAUGGCGCGGUGAAUACGUUCCCGGGCCUUGUACACACCGCCCGUCACACCAUGAGAGUUGGGAAUACCCGAAGCCUGUGAGCCAACUUUUUAAGAGGCAGCAGUCGAAGGUAGAAUCAAUGAUUGGGGUGAAGUCGUAACAAGGUAAC